rnacentral:tRNA from 1 species
GCGGGCGUAGCUCAAUGGUAGAGCCCCAGUUUUCCAAACUGACAACGCGAGUUCGAUUCUCGUCGCCCGCUCCA